AGGGCACCACCAGGAGUGGAGCCUGCGGCUUAAUUUGACUCAACACGGGAAAACUCACCCGGCCCGGACACCGUAAGGAUUGACAGACUGAGAGCUCUUUCUUAAUUCGGGGGGUGGUGGUGCAUGGCCGUUCUUAGUUGGGGGAGCGAUUUGUCUGGUUAAUUCCGAUAACGAACGAGACUCUGGCCUAUUAAAUAGACGAUAUAUUAAAAAGUAUAUCGCACUUCUUAGAGGGACAAGCGGCGUCUAGCCGCAUGAAAUAGAGCAAUAACAGGUCUGUGAUGCCCUUAGAUGUCCGGGGCUGCACGCGCGCUACACUGAAAGAAUCAGUGGGCGUUAAACCUAGUUCGGAAGAACCGGGUAACCCAAGUAAAUUCUUUCGUGCUUGGGAUAGGGAAUUGCAAUUAUUUCCCUUAAACGAGGAACUCCCAGUAAAUUCGGGUCAUAAGCUCGAGUUGAUUACGUCCCUGCCCUUUGUACACACCGCCCGUCGCUACUACCGAUUGGAUGACUAGUGAG
rnacentral:rRNA from 1 species